rnacentral:rRNA from 1 species
UACGAAGGGGGCUAGCGUUGCUCGGAAUUACUGGGCGUAAAGAGCGCGUAGGCGGUUUAUUAAGUCAGACGUGAAAGCCCUGGGCUCAACCCGGGAAUUGCGUUUGAUACUGGUAGGCUUGAGAUUCAGAGAGGUGAGUGGAAUUCCUAGUGUAGCAGUGAAAUGCGUAGAUAUUAGGAGGAACAUCAGUGGCGAAGGCGGCUCACUGGCUGAACACUGACGCUGAGGAGCGAAAGCGUGGGGAGCGAACAGG